ensembl:lncRNA
UUAGCAUAUAUCAGAUAUUUCAUCAUAACUUUUGACCACAAGGUGGCGCUGCCACCAAACUUUUUGAGUAGCUUCAGGGCAUGGAGCCGAACAUUUUUGUAAUUAUUUUCAUAACGAUACGAUAAUGCGUUCAAAAAAUACAGCAUUUUGAAACAUAAUUCAAAAUGGCCGACACCUAAAAUGGCCGACACGGGAAAAUUGGAUAUCACUCGACUUGACAUGACCCACCGAAUCUAAUGAGACCAGUUUUGUGAUUUUUGGCCAAACCAUUCAGAAGUUAUAAGCAAAAACAUCCAGUUUUCAUAUCUCCUGUCCACUAGGUGGCGCUGCGUCGAAACACUGCAGGAAGUCUCAAGUCGUGCUUGUUAUAACACACACCAAGUUUGGUCUCAAUACGCCCAACCUUUGCGGAGUUAUAGCCUCACAAGCAUUUUUGCGUGCUUUUCGUAGAAUUUUUUCGCGUGGUAGUCGAGAACGGUUGGACGAAUCAACUUGAAUUCAAUAACUUUUUUUCGGCAUCAUCUGAAGAUGAUCUGAGCCAAUUUUCGUGAAUAUCGGACUAACCGUCUAGGACGAGUUCGAAAAAGUAGGUUUUUCGAACAAUUGAAAAUAGCGAAAAAACUAAACCUUGCGAUUUUUGAAUUUCGGGGUUCAUUCGACUUGGCCUGAGCUAAGGAUUCAGAGGAAAAAAGAAUUUUUUAUUUUGUGGCUUACGGUUCAAAAGUUAUUAGCAUAAAAAUAUUGAAACUUUGGACAAGUGGUGGCGCUAGAGAGUAGGAGAUAGAGACUUCAAAUUUGCUAUAGUUAAUGCUGGGAAUGUCCUCUAUCAGUGUGCCAAAUUAUACAACUUUCCCGCAAUCGGUUCUAUGGGCUGCCAUAGACUUGCGGCGGAAGAAGAAGAAGAAGAAGAAGAAAUAGCUGCAAGCAGCAAUUACGGGGCCAAGCACUCCAGAGGCAAACUGAGGAGCUAAGCAUGGCGUGGACCAUCAGACCAAAUGCAGAAAGGAGUAACUGAAGCCAUUUUAGGAUGAUUGUAAUUGAAAUGGUGGAAAAAUCAUAAAUACAAGCACUAGUAUUAUGAUUAAAUGGCUUAUCACUUUUGACCAACAGGUGGCGCUGUAUUCAAAUAAUGUUGUUGUGUUCUGUGUGAGGUGACAAUGGCACACACAAAGUUUGGUGUCAGUAUGCCAAAGCAUUGCAGAUAUACAGGCUGAAGUGUCAUUUUGGCAUCAUGCCUGAAAUUCGUCACUGUGGUAUGCGAAAACGGUUUUGUCUAUCGAUACAAAGUCCAUAACAUUUUGUCAGCACAGUCUGAAGAUCAUCUGAUUCAAUUUUGGUGAAAAUCGGACCAACGGUUGAUGAGGAGUUCGAAAAAGUAGGUUUUCAACAUAAAUUAAAAUGGCGGACAGGAAGUUCAGCGUACUCUGGCAUAUUUGGUAUCUAUGUUGUCGGCAUAAGCCAAGGAAUAUUUUAAGACCAGUUUCAUUGCAAUAGGCUAAUGCAAUAAAAAGUUAUUAGCAUUUUUAUAAAUGUAAUUAUUAAUGAGUAAUGAAUGAUUUAUUACUCUUGACCAAUAGGUGGCAC